rnacentral:lncRNA from 1 species
CAACUGGAGACAUGUUGUUUGAUCUCCGCUGCUCCCCUGAGAAUAGUGUUCCUUUAAAGACAAUGAUACUUAUUGAGGGAGAGAGAAAGAGAGAGAGAGAGAGAGAUUUGGUGAAGCAGCUACAAUUACACAGAACACAAUGUGUCAAGAACCGGGAGGAAAGGAUCCCCCAUCUUUGGUGCAGUGUCACUCUGGGAAAGUGACAGAUGCAGGUUUCACUGCUUUACUGAAAGGAUUCUGCCCAAUCUGUAAUGGACAUGUCUUGACCACCUAAUGCAAAGCCUUUGUCAGCUGCUUCGGUGACAAUCAUCACUCCCCAAUCAGUCACCAAUCCGUCCCCAAUCAGAAGACACCCGCUCCUCUUCCCUCACCCAAUCACAGCCCCAUUUCCUUGGUUUAAAAACCCAGUCAGUUGCUUUCUCCCAAGAUCAAUCUUUGUGUUCAUUUUUUUCUCUCUCUCUGUGUCUCAAGC